AUUGAACGGCUGGCGGCAGGCCUAACACAUGCAAGUCGAGCGCGAAAACACUUCGGUGUGAGUAGAGCGGCGGACGGGUGAGUAAUGCUUGGGAAUCUGCCCAGUAGUGGGGGAUAACGUGUGGAAACGCACGCUAAUACCGCAUACGUCCUACGGGAGAAAGCAGGGGAUCUUCGGACCUUGCGCUAUUGGAUGAGCCCAAGUCGGAUUAGCUAGUUGGUGGGGUAAUGGCCUACCAAGGCGACGAUCCGUAGCUGGUCUGAGAGGAUGAUCAGCCACACUGGGACUGAGACACGGCCCAGACUCCUACGGGAGGCAGCAGUGGGGAAUAUUGCACAAUGGGCGAAAGCCUGAUGCAGCCAUGCCGCGUGUGUGAAGAAGGCUCUAGGGUUGUAAAGCACUUUCAGUAGGGAGGAAAAGCUUAAGGUUAAUAACCUUGAGCCCUGACGUUACCUACAGAAGAAGCACCGGCAAACUCCGUGCCAGCAGCCGCGGUAAUACGGAGGGUGCGAGCGUUAAUCGGAAUUACUGGGCGUAAAGCGCGCGUAGGUGGUUUGAUAAGCUAGCUGUGAAAGCCCCGGGCUCAACCUGGGAACUGCAGUUAGAACUGUCUGACUAGAGUACAGUAGAGGGUGGCGGAAUUUCCUGUGUAGCGGUGAAAUGCGUAGAUAUAGGAAGGAACAUCAGUGGCGAAGGCGGCCACCUGGACUGAUACUGA
rnacentral:rRNA from 1 species